rnacentral:rRNA from 1 species
UAUCGAAGGGGGCUAGCGUUUGUUUCGGAUUUACUGGGCGUAAAGCGCACGUAGGCGGAUCUUUAAGUCAGAGGUGAAAUCCCAAGGCUCAACCUUGGAACUGCCUUUGAUACUGGGGAUCUCGAGUCCGGGAGAGGUGAGUGGAUUCCUGGUGUAGCGGUGAAAUGCGCAGAUAUCAGGAAGAACACCCGUGCUAAGGCGGCUCUCUAGUACGUACUUGA